rnacentral:ncRNA from 1 species
GGGCUUACGGUGGAUACCUAGGCACACAGAGGCGAAGAAGGACGUGGUUACCGACGAUAUACUCCGGGGAGUUGGAAGCAAACAUUGAGCCGGAGGUUUCCGAAUGGGGCAACCCUAAAUACUACCUGUUGAAUAUAUAGACAGGAAAGAGCCAACCCAGCGAACUGAAACAUCUUAGUAGCUGGAGGAAGAGAAAUCAAAAGAGAUUCCCUGAGUAGUGGUGAGCGAAAGGGGAAAAGCCUAAACCAAAAGAUUUAUCCUUUGGGGUAGUGGGACAGCGAUAUCGAAUCUGGCGGUUAGACGAAGCAGCUAAAUACUGCACCAAAGAAGGUGAAAGUCCUGUAGUCGAAAACUCAAGGAUAGUAGCUGAAUCCCGAGUAGCAUGGGGCACGAGGAAUCCCAUGUGAAUCAGCGAGGACCAUCUCGUAAGGCUAAAUACUACUGUGUGACCGAUAGUGAACCAGUACCGCGAGGGAAAGGUGAAAAGAACCCCGGAAGGGGAGUGAAAUAGAACAUGAAACCGUAAGCUUACAAGCAGUGGGAGGACGAUUGAACGUCUGACCGCGUGCCUGUUGAAGAAUGAGCCGGCGACUUAUAGGCACUGGUAGGUUAAGGCGAGAAUGCCGGAGCCAAAGGGAAACCGAGUCUGAAAAGGGCGCUCAAUCAGUGUUUAUAGACCCGAACCCUGGUGAUCUAACCAUGGCCAGGAUGAAGCUUGGGUAACACCAAGUGGAGGUCCGAACCGACUGAUGUUGAAAAAUCAGCGGAUGAGCUGUGGUUAGGGGUGAAAUGCCAAUCGAACCAGGAGCUAGCUGGUUCUCCCCGAAAUGUGUUUAGGCGCAGCGGUAAUGAUUAAAUCUGGGGGGUAAAGCACUGUUUCGGUGCGGGCUGGGAGACCGGUACCAAAUCGAGACAAACUCAGAAUACCCAGAGAACACAUUGCCAGUGAGACAGUGGGGGAUAAGCUUCAUUGUCAAGAGGGAAACAGCCCAGACCACCAGCUAAGGUCCCCAAAUCAUCACUAAGUGAUAAAGGAGGUGGGAUUGCAUAGACAACUAGGAGGUUUGCCUAGAAGCAGCCAACCUUAAAAGAGUGCGUAAUAGCUCACUAGUCAAGCGAUCCUGCGCCGAAAAUGAACGGGGCUAAGUGAUGUACCGAAGCUGUGGGAUUAAUCUAGUAUUAAUCGGUAGGGGAGCGUUCCGUAUUAGGUAGAAGCAGUAGCGGCGAGCAGCUGUGGACGAAACGGAAGUGAGAAUGUCGGCUUGAGUAGCGCAAACAUUGGUGAGAAUCCAAUG